rnacentral:rRNA from 1 species
GACGAACGCUGGCGGCGUGCCUAAUGCAUGCAAGUUGAGCGCUGAAGGUUGGUACUUGUACCGACUGGAUGAGCAGCGAACGGGUGAGUAACGCGUGGGGAAUCUGCCUUUGAGCGGGGGACAACAUUUGGAAACGAAUGCUAAUACCGCAUAAAAACUUUAAACACAAGUUUUAAGUUUGAAAGAUGCAAUUGCAUCACUCAAAGAUGAUCCCGCGUUGUAUUAGCUAGUUGGUGAAGUAAAGGCUCACCAAGGCGAUGAUACAUAGCCGACCUGAGAGGGUGAUCGGCCACAUUGGGACUGAGACACGGCCCAAACUCCUACGGGAGGCAGCAGUAGGGAAUCUUCGGCAAUGGACGAAAGUCUGACCGAGCAACGCCGCGUGAGUGAAGAAGGUUUUCGGAUCGUAAAACUCUGUUGGUAGAGAAGAACGUUGGUGAGAGUGGAAAGCUCAUCAAGUGACGGUAACUACCCAGAAAGGGACGGCUAACUACGUG